rnacentral:rRNA from 1 species
GAUGAACGCUGGCGGCGUGCCUAAUACAUGCAAGUCGAGCGAACAGAUGAGGAGCUUGCUCCUCUGACGUUAGCGGCGGACGGGUGAGUAACACGUGGAUAACCUACCUAUAAGACUGGGAUAACUUCGGGAAACCGGAGCUAAUACCGGAUAAUAUAUUGAACCGCAUGGUUCAAUAGUGAAAGACGGUUUUGCUGUCACUUAUAGAUGGAUCCGCGCCGCAUUAGCUAGUUGGUAAGGUAACGGCUUACCAAGGCGACGAUGCGUAGCCGACCUGAGAGGGUGAUCGGCCACACUGGAACUGAGACACGGUCCAGACUCCUACGGGAGGCAGCAGUAGGGAAUCUUCCGCAAUGGGCGAAAGCCUGACGGAGCUACGCCGCGUGAGUGAUGAAGGUCUUCGGAUCGUAAAACUCUGUUAUUAGGGAAGAACAAAUGUGUAAGUAACUAUGCACGUCUUGACGGUACCUAAUCAGAAAGCCACGGCUAACUACGUG